CCCAUCCCACUGUUAAAAGAAAAUGCUCGUAUUGCAGGGUGGAUUGUAGUGUUGUGACUUUAAUUAAAGCGGCAUGCCCCUUUCCCUCUUGGAGUGGAAUUAAUCCACGGUUGGCAGCUCGAAGGGGUGCACUGGACGUGGUGGACCCCUGGCUCCAUCUGGUCACCCAGAGGUGAAAAAUAAAACCAAGAGUUGAAGCCCUUUUCCCGAGUCAUCAAACUCCAGUGACAGGACAAAAAUCAGGACAACUGGCAAUGGCCUAGAAUGCAGAGGAUGACCUUGGCAUCUUCCAUGUCUGAACCAAGCUCUGAGCGCUCCACAAUUCCUGCUUUGGCAGCCUUCAUGGCUGUUAGAACAAAUUGUUCUCAUUUGCCCAUUCCACCAGGAGAAGUCUUCGCGUGCUUGGGGUACCCCCCAACUCACUGAGGGGUUUGAGGUCCAGAAGUCCAAGGUGAUCUUUACUGGACCAGGUGUUCAAGCCGUGAUAACCUUGGAACCGAUGUUUACAGGCUUCCCCAGUACAGAAAGGUGAUCAGGUGAGGAUUUAGCUCUUCAGUGGAAGUUGGAGGCAACAGCAUCUGGAACCAGGAAAGGCAGAUCUACAUUCAGCAGAGAUAAGAGCCCUGAAGUGGUAAGAGUUCAAAUGGGAGGAGAAGAUGCCAUUAUAUCUCUAUUGUCAACAAAUACCCUUUCAUCUUCUACAUGUUUAUUUUAGGCUCUUUAAAUCUGGUAUUUCUGGCUGUCUGGGGAAGAAAAUACAUCCUUUUCUAAUGUGGCAGUCCUUCCUAAUGUGGCUUGCUGCUACUUUAAAAUCUUAACACACUGGGCCAAGAGAGGAAUUCAUAGUCAUUCCUUGCUGUCUUCCUACCUCCUUGCUACUUCCUUUGCCACUAUCACUUUGUAAUCUCUCCUCCUUUGAGGUUUGUUCCAACCUUCUAUAUUAUCCUGAAUACAGUUUUGUUAUCAUAGUAUAUACUCCACUUCCAGGUUACUCUCCUUUCUCUAGGAGUUCAGCGUUCCUUGAGGCCUACCCAAGUAGAGUAAAAAAGUUUUAAAUAGAAAGAGAAUUUAGUCAGGGCUUAGAAUGCUGAAUGAGACUGCAGGGUAUUGAAAAUUAUGCUGUUUGGAACAAUGCCCAAAGGGCUAUAAAACUGUGUAUGCCCUUUGAUCCAGCAAUACCACUGCUAUC